AGAGUUUGAUCCUGGCUCAGAUUGAACGCUGGCGGCAGGCCUAACACAUGCAAGUCGAGCGGUAGAGAGAAGCUUGCUUCUCUUGAGAGCGGCGGACGGGUGAGUAAUGCCUAGGAAUCUGCCUGGUAGUGGGGGAUAACGUUCGGAAACGGACGCUAAUACCGCAUACGUCCUACGGGAGAAAGCAGGGGACCUUCGGGCCUUGCGCUAUCAGAUGAGCCUAGGUCGGAUUAGCUAGUUGGUGAGGUAAUGGCUCACCAAGGCGACGAUCCGUAACUGGUCUGAGAGGAUGAUCAGUCACACUGGAACUGAGACACGGUCCAGACUCCUACGGGAGGCAGCAGUGGGGAAUAUUGGACAAUGGGCGAAAGCCUGAUCCAGCCAUGCCGCGUGUGUGAAGAAGGUCUUCGGAUUGUAAAGCACUUUAAGUUGGGAGGAAGGGCAGUAAAUUAAUACUUUGCUGUUUUGACGUUACCGACAGAAUAAGCACCGGCUAACUCUGUGCCAGCAGCCGCGGUAAUACAGAGGGUGCAAGCGUUAAUCGGAAUUACUGGGCGUAAAGCGCGCGUAGGUGGUUAGUUAAGUUGGAUGUGAAAUCCCCGGGCUCAACCUGGGAACUGCAUUCAAAACUGACUGACUAGAGUAUGGUAGAGGGUGGUGGAAUUUCCUGUGUAGCGGUGAAAUGCGUAGAUAUAGGAAGGAACACCAGUGGCGAAGGCGACCACCUGGACUGAUACUGACACUGAGGUGCGAAAGCGUGGGGAGCAAACGGGAUUAGAUACCCUGGUAGUCCACGCCGUAAACGAUGUCAGCUAGCCGUUGGGAGCCUUGAGCUCUUAGUGGCGCAGCUAACGCAUUAAGUUGACCGCCUGGGGAGUACGGCCGCAAGGUUAAAACUCAAAUGAAUUGACGGGGGCCCGCACAAGCGGUGGAGCAUGUGGUUUAAUUCGAAGCAACGCGAAGAACCUUACCAGGCCUUGACAUCCAAUGAACUUUCUAGAGAUAGAUUGGUGCCUUCGGGAACAUUGAGACAGGUGCUGCAUGGCUGUCGUCAGCUCGUGUCGUGAGAUGUUGGGUUAAGUCCCGUAACGAGCGCAACCCUUGUCCUUAGUUACCAGCACGUAAUGGUGGGCACUCUAAGGAGACUGCCGGUGACAAACCGGAGGAAGGUGGGGAUGACGUCAAGUCAUCAUGGCCCUUACGGCCUGGGCUACACACGUGCUACAAUGGUCGGUACAGAGGGUUGCCAAGCCGCGAGGUGGAGCUAAUCCCACAAAACCGAUCGUAGUCCGGAUCGCAGUCUGCAACUCGACUGCGUGAAGUCGGAAUCGCUAGUAAUCGCGAAUCAGAAUGUCGCGGUGAAUACGUCCCCGGGCCUUGCACUCACCGCCCGUC
rnacentral:rRNA from 1 species